rfam:Pteropus alecto contig6204, whole genome shotgun sequence.
GUCUACGGCCAUGCCAACCUGAACAUGUUUAGUCUCGUCUGAUCUCAGAAGCUAAGCAGGCUCGGACCUGGUUAGUACUUGGAUGGGAGACCACCUAGGAAGACCAGGUGCUGUAGGCG